rnacentral:lncRNA from 1 species
UUCUCCCCUCUCUUUUUGCUGCUAAUCUUCCUUUCACUUUUUCCUUCCCAUCUCUCUCAUCGCCAAAUCUCUUUCCUCUCUUCCUCUUUUUCUUUGACUAAAUAUUUUUCUCUUUCUUUCUAUUUUGAUUUUUACCUUUUAUUAUUUUCUUUUCCUUUUGACUGAGAACUGUCUCCCUUCUUUGAGUGGGGUUUAGUCGAUUGUCAUCCCUCUGUUCGAUCACUCCCUACGCUGAUCUUCUUUUCGUUGCUUUUGCUGUUCCAGUGCUGCAAGUAUUGCAGAUUAUCAUUAAAGUUAUGAUACUCCUCACUUUUUGUUUUAAUCCGGUCCUAUCCAUUCUUUUUCUUUAACCAGAAUACCCCUAUUGGUAACUUUUAUGGUCUAAUUUAGUUUAUG